rnacentral:lncRNA from 1 species
GGAGGAUAUUUUUCCGCCUCCGUCGUUCUUUCUUUCCAUUUUUUUUUUUUUUUUUCCUUCUUCUUCUUCUUCGAGGGGACACUUCUCGUCUAAUCUCAUCUGUGUGUGUCUUCGCUAGUGGCUGCUACCGCCGCUCUAAUUCUGUUUAAAUCAGGGGACAAGUGCGUCCCGACAGCUGUUCUCCCAUCUGCCUUUUAAUAGCGGGGUCGGCCCGAUGGCGUCUGACCUUUGACUUACCGCUCGGGUUUUCUCUUCUCUUGCCAUCGUCGGGUGCAUCCCGAACGUCACGUGAUGGGAAGUGCAGGAAAGUCGGCUUCCGGUGCAAGGUUCGGUAUUUUAAUUGGUUGGCACCCCUGGCCAAAUGGCUUCUCACCCCCCAUAAACUAAUGGCCGAGACGUUGUCUUGACAACAGCGGCAGCCGGCGCCGCGACUCGGUCGGUUGCCAUGACGACGUCUAGGGGUCCGACCAGCUUUAAUUUCGACGUCUUUUGAUAUUGAGGAUCUCUUUCUUUCUCUCUCUCUUUUCUCCUCCCCCCCCACUCGAAAAGUCUUUCAGUCAGUCGUCUGUGUUCCAAUAAAUCAUACCUUUACAAAUAAUCUUUAAAGAAAAAGGGAAGGAAGAGAGGACCGAAUGGUUAUUCAACAACGCAAAUGAUUUUCUUUUUAAGAUAGAUGGCCGUUUUGGAAGCAUUCCAGGUCAAACGAUAUUUUAGUCAUUUUUUUGCCGAUAGAUGGCUCCACGCGUCCGCACCUCUUUUAUUUAGAUAGAUACGUACUACUGAUCCAUCUUAUCGCUUCUUUCAUCUCCUCCAGUAAAACGUUAACCUAACCGAAUUUUAAUGGUUAGGCCGGUAAAUAGGGUCAAAUAAUUAACAAACAUAAAAAGACAAAGAUUCUCUUAACUGUCAUCCUAUUCCAUACGUCGUCCCCCCUGUGACGCAACCAUCAUAAAUACUGUACUGUACUUCCACCACGCAUUCUGGGAAUUUUGGUAUUACCAUUUCCUAUAAUGGAUGCACUUCUCACCGGUUUAUAAAUUAUUUCGGUUUGAUCGAUGCUACUUUAUUUAAUUAUAUGAACCACCAUAAGUGGAGCUGGUUCUGGCGGGAUUUUUCUGGAUAAAGAUGGCGUGAAGCACUUUUAAACCGUUUAGCGUCUGAGAUGACGCAUUUGAUAGUAGAGAGCCCUGGCCCCACGUCCUGUGACGCUCGUUUUGGAGACGGAGAGAGACCACCAGAUUUAAAGCGUCCUAGUUUGUUUUCUAUUAGCUCGAAAACAUUGCAAAGAUCAGCAGUUUUGUACGGUAAGAUCGAAUAAAGCAGUUUUAAAACUUUCCAUUUCGCUGCGGGAGUCAUUUGUAUGCUUGGAGCUACACCAUUCGGCGUGGGAGUUCACGCAACGUUGCUCUUUAUGGAUAACGGCGUUGGGAGAGACCCUUUUUUUUUCCAAACCCCCAAAUGUCCAAUAAACACGUAUUCUCCGCUUGCGCGAAUUUUCGAUUUUUUUUUUUUUUUCGUGUCUUGGCACAUGGGUAUUGGUUAGGCUCAACGAAACUAAACUUUUUGGUCAAUGUAGCGUGAGAGAGGGCAAACACGCAUGCUUGGGUGCCACGUGGUCCUUUUGCCCACAUCCUGUCGGAAAACAGGAGGUUGCGUGUCCCGUCCUUCCUGUCAGGGGAGGUGAGAGGGCAGGUGAGGCGUCCCAGCAGGUAACUGCACCACCGGAAAUUUCCUUUUCUUUACUUCUGUCGCCGGUAUUCUUUUUUUUUCUUUUUUUUGCCAUAUGACGUUGUCCACUUACCCAAUUAAUCGCUAAAUUAGCAAAAAUCAUAAAUCAUGUUUAAAGGCAAUCUCCACCUCCGUUUAUUUAGCUCUACGGUAAAUAAUCGCUUUUUUUUACCUCCACAGAGUCGGCGCUCUCGAUAUUCAAUCUCAAAAAAAGCAACAGAAGCAAAAAAAAAAAAAAAAAAAAAUCCCAGAGAAGAUAAUGCAUGCAAUAUUUAUGUUCUAUAUCAUAUGGCAAGGUCCAGCAGUCUUAAGAAAUU